GUGAAAGCCUGGGAUGCUGAAGUCACCUAAUUUCCUGCAGAACAGGUACAGCAUGACCAGAGGCACAACACAUGCCUCCCCAGAAACGCCCUGUCGCGCUUUAAAUCAAGAGGUACCUCAGCAGGGACUGAAGGGUAGUUCAGACUUCAUGGUCCAUUCUGAACCAAUUGGCCAAU
rnacentral:sRNA from 1 species